AAUAGGAAAAUGACAAAUCAAAUUUUUACUCCUGAUUUUCAAUUUUUCCCUCCUGAAAAAAUUCAAAUUCAACAAGAAAAAAGCUAAAAAUUAGGAGGAAAAAUAUGAUUUGUCAUUCUCCUAUU
rfam:Gossypium raimondii Chr02_contig_453, whole genome shotgun sequence.